UCUCCGGUGCUCCACCAUGCAUCCAGUUGGACCCAAGGUCGCCACGAUCCACUCGCACCCUAUGGCAAGAAAGCAUUGGGUUCACCCCUUUGCUCGCCCUCACCAGCUCCCCUGCCUCACCAGUAAAACAAUCACGUGCAACAGAAAUGCGCCCCCAACGACUUAUCCCGUUUUCAACAAGUUCUGGAGGGUUGAAUGAGAGAGUCAAAUGGGAGUGUCGAAGUGCCUAAAUGCAUCAUACACAUCAAACCGGUUCAGAGGAGGACUAUUUGGUAUUAUCAACAGCAGGAGUCCAAUCCUUUCCUCAAGAUCGUGGUUGUGUUACUGACGAUGGUUGCU